rnacentral:rRNA from 1 species
AUUGAACGCUGGCGGCAUGCCUUACACAUGCAAGUCGAACGGCAGCACGGAGCUUGCUCUGGUGGCGAGUGGCGAACGGGUGAGUAAUAUAUCGGAACGUACCCUGGAGUGGGGGAUAACGUAGCGAAAGUUACGCUAAUACCGCAUACGAUCUACGGAUGAAAGUGGGGGAUCGCAAGACCUCAUGCUCGUGGAGCGGCCGAUAUCUGAUUAGCUAGUUGGUAGGGUAAAAGCCUACCAAGGCAUCGAUCAGUAGCUGGUCUGAGGGGACGACCAGCCACACUGGAACUGAGACACGGUCCAGACUCCUACGGGAGGCAGCAGUGGGGAAUUUUGGACAAUGGGCGAAAGCCUGAUCCAGCAAUGCCGCGUGAGUGAAGAAGGCCUUCGGGUUGUAAAGCUCUUUUGUCAGGGAAGAAACGGUGAGAGCUAAUAUCUCUUGCUAAUGACGGUACCUGAAGAAUAAGCACCGGCUAACUACGUGCCAGCAGCCGCGGUAAUACGUAGGGUGCAAGCGUUAAUCGGAAUUACUGGGCGUAAAACGUGCGCAGGCGGUUUUGUAAGUCUGAUGUGAAAUCCCCGGGCUCAACCUGGGAAUUGCAUUGGAGACUGCAAGGCUAGAAUCUGGCAGAGGGGGGUAGAAUUCCACGUGUAGCAGUGAAAUGCGUAGAUAUGUGGAGGAACACCGAUGGCGAAGGCAGCCCCCUGGGUCAAGAUCGACGCUCAUGCACGAAAGCGUGGGGAGCAAACAGGAUUAGAUACCCUGGUAGUCCACGCCCUAAACGAUGUCUACUAGUUGUCGGGUCUUAAUUGACUUGGUAACGCAGCUAACGCGUGAAGUAGACCGCCUGGGGAGUACGGUCGCAAGAUUAAAACUCAAAGGAAUUGACGGGGACCCGCACAAGCGGUGGAUGAUGUGGAUUAAUUCGAUGCAACGCGAAAAACCUUACCUACCCUUGACAUGGCUGGAAUCCCCGAGAGAUUGGGGAGUGCUCGAAAGAGAACCAGUACACAGGUGCUGCAUGGCUGUCGUCAGCUCGUGUCGUGAGAUGUUGGGUUAAGUCCCGCAACGAGCGCAACCCUUGUCAUUAGUUGCUACGAAAGGGCACUCUAAUGAGACUGCCGGUGACAAACCGGAGGAAGGUGGGGAUGACGUCAAGUCCUCAUGGCCCUUAUGGGUAGGGCUUCACACGUCAUACAAUGGUACAUACGGAGCGCCGCCAACCCGCGAGGGGGAGCUAAUCGCAGAAAGUGUAUCGUAGUCCGGAUUGUAGUCUGCAACUCGACUGCAUGAAGUUGGAAUCGCUAGUAAUCGCGGAUCAGCAUGUCGCGGUGAAUACGUUCCCGGGUCU